rnacentral:lncRNA from 1 species
UUUUUUUUUUGGCGUACUUGUAAUUUUGGUGUCUUGUUCGAUUUUUUUCAAGGUUGGGAAUUUUGCACUAGAAAACCAUCAUUAGCCAAAUAAAUACUCUGCUAAUGAUUUUUAACAUGGAUUUUUUUUCAUAUAGAACUUUAUUGCAUUUUUAGCUACUUAUUAAAUUUUUAUUUUUUUUUAGAGGAACGCACGGCCACAUUAUUGGUAUGCAAUUGGUCUGCUGUGACAUUCGAAUGUAAUCGGAUCAGCCUGAAGUGUAUCUCUUUUCUCUCUUUGGCAUUAUGACAAAUACCUCGUGUGUGACGACUUCGGUUCCUGCUCGCUCGGGAUUUUUUGUCCAAAAGGACCCCCUGCCGAACGCUAUUGUCAAAAAGGACUAUCUGCAGAUAAAAACGUCAAAAAGGACCCCCUGACUAGUGGCGGCAGGUGCGGCAGGCGACACGUGGCACCUGCCAUCACACCAGGAGGCGGCGGGCCCCGUCGCCACCGCAGGAGGCGGCCGCGCGGUGCACAACGGAUUCGGCACAGUGCAACGGAACGGGUGAGGCCAGGUGGGCCACGCCGCCACUGGCUGAGGCGGCCGCUGCUGCCCAUGCCGCGCCCAGGCCGACAGCAGCAUCUUCACGGGAAGCGAGGCGCGGGCCCGGCCGCCACCGGGUGAGGCGGCAGCGCGCAUGCGACCCGACAGCCCUGACGGCGCUGAUUUCAACGGCGCUGAUUUCUAUGACAGCGACCUGACGGCGCUAAUUUGGACAGCGCUGAUUUUCCUACGCGCUGAUUCCCGUGUGCAACAGCGACCCUGACGGCGGUGAUUCCCACGAGCGGGAAAAUGCACGCUGAUGCUUCUUUCGCCCAAGAAACAGUCUUGCUUUAGCUUCUUUUGCCUCAGCGGAUAGGACCGCACUGUGAGAAUCGCUCUGGCUAUUGCUUGAGAGGAUGCGACGGCAUCAGUCACUCGCUGCGGGAAUCCAAUACUGCGGGAAGCUAUUGCGCCGACACUACAGGGAUCCUAAAAUUUACUGCUUAAUUUUCUCGCCAUUAUUUAUCGUCUGGGCUUAUAAAAGGAGACACCGAGGCUCUCGUCCAGCCAUCCUUGAAAUCGCCACUGCGCAAAGUGUAUAACACAAUUUUUUUCAGUCGGUAUGAGUUUGCCUUGCUCGGAUCAAAGCAUUAGGCCGAGGAAAAUGAAGAACGCAAGUUUGCCUCCUGGGGUGGCAGUCCUGCGAUGUUGGUGUGGCGAUCUUUGCAAGGUGAAGGAGGUGACGGAUUUUUCAGAUUGGUUGGGCAUGAAGUUUUUCAUGUGCGCCAAUUAUGAGGAAGAUCCUGCCGUAGCUAUUUCAGAGUACGACAAGCCUCCGGUAUGCUUUAACCAUCACGAAUAGAUAUUGUUGGUAUUUUCAUUGAUUCUUUAGUAACAUUCUUGUUUCUUGUUGUAGUCUCCUCCGCCUCUGUGCAUGUACUAUCAUUGGAUUGACACGGAGAAGCCGGCUUGGGCAGUGACUGAGAUUCGUGAAAGAAGUCUCCGUGCGUGGAAUAGUUUAUUUGCGGAAGAGCGACGCGAGAAGGCGGAAGCUGAGGAGAAAGCAGAGCAAGAGAGAGAGUUAAAAGAAUACUAUGCGGAGCAACACCGUUUUUUUGAGGAAAUGGGAAAGAAAAAUAGGGAAGAGGCUCGUCGCAUGGAGGAGCAGGAACGACAGCGAAAGGAGGCUCGUGAGGCAGAGAGGCAGAGAAAGAAAGAAAGGGCUCGUCAGGCCAAGGCAGCAGAAGAAGCUGGCGAUGGAAAAGGAAAAUAUCCACGCUGGACUCAGUAGAUUCCUGUGGUAGUAUUUAAAAUUCCGCAAUCAUUUGUAUCUUUAUUUCUGCACUUUAAUGUAGCUUUAUUUCAGGAGUUAAAUGUAGGUAUAUUCCUAUAAUGUAUCUUAUUUUCAGUUGUGCCGUGUCGUAAUGGAAAAAAAAUAUAGUUUAAGAAUAAAGUAGUGGCAUUUUCUUUCCCUCCACUAAUAUCGAACAUCGUGCAACAACUACAAAAUAAAAUUAAGAUAGAACAUAAUGCCCUACAAUAACAGAGUACAAACUAAUAAUGCAAGUACAUCCGAAUUAAACGGUAGAACUGGAAUAAAACUACAUGAAGGCAUCAUCGUCAUCCUCCAUCGAUGCAGAACUCUUGCCCUUCGAGGAUGUAGAACUCUUACCCUUGGACGAUGCAGAACUCUUGCUCUUCGAGGAUGCAGUACUCUUGCCCUUAGACGAUGCAGAACUCUUGCCCUUUGAUGAUGCAGCACCCGGAAGCGGCGGCAUGAAGAUAUCAUCUUCAUCCUCGCUCUCCUCAGUCCAUAAAAAUGGAUGCAUUUCUGCAGUCCUUCUGAAAGUUUCACUCUUCGGCUCCACUACAUUCUUCCACCUUGCAUGCAACCUAAGAAGUUCUUUACGUACCUCCUCAUAGGUCCUUUCAGGCCACCCAGACCUACGUAAUUGGUGAGCCAACUCAUUCAUUAUGGUGUCACUACCGGUGAGUUCGUCCCAUGGAACUAUCCUACUGUCCAUCCUGAAAUCGGUAGCUAGCCUCAGAAGAGUCCUGCUCAUCCCAGGGUGAAAACUACGAUCGAAAGGAUAAUGGGACAUCUCGACUACACUACACUCGAAUGCUUAUCCACCUCCGUCUGAAUGGGGUUUUAUAGGUAGAGAGGAGAAAAUGGCGGGAAAGAACGAGUGCAGUAUGGCGGGAAAGGGUUGGCGGGAACAUAUGGCGGGAAACGAGUGGCGGGAAGAUAUGGCGGGAAGGGGUUGGCGGGAAACGGGUGGCGGANNNNNNNNNNUCCACCUCCGUCUGAAGGGGGUUUUAUAGGUAGAGAGGAGAAAAUGGCGGGAAAGAACGAGUGCAGUAUGGCGGGAAAGGGUUGGCGGGAACAUAUGGCGGGAAACGAGUGGCGGGAAGAUAUGGCGGGAAGGGGUUGGCGGGAAACGGGUGGCGGAACAUAUGGAGGGAAAGCGUUGGCGGGAAAAUAUUGAGGGGAAAGCGUUGCCUGAAAAUAUUGAGGGGAAAGCGUUGACUGGUGCAUUUUUAUUUCAGCAAACAUAGAUGUUCAAAUCGAAAAGUCUGAUACACACAUAUAUAGAUACAAUGGGUCGCGCACGUGCAUAGAUGAAUCACCCUACUUAACGACGACCACCUGGCCUUUCCUUACGACCGGAAGGCGACAAGCGAUUAGGUGGCCGGGUCACACGAAGACCGCGGCCGUACUCCACUUCGGCUUCAUGUGUCUGUGAGUCCUGCGUAGGUGGUGGAGUCGCGAAUCCUUGUUGCGAACCUGAAGCGUAAUUGUAGGCGUAUGGUUGUGACUCCGGGGGGAUAAAAGAUGGGCCAAUAACAUCCCCUCUGAAGAACUCUGUAACUAAUGAUGUAACCGUGUCGCCAAGAUCAUGUGAUGCUCCCCGGAGGUCUGUGUUGACGCCAUGAUCAUGUGAUGCUCCUCGGAGGCCUGUGUUGACGCCGCGUUGGGUGUUCUCAUCGCCCCAAUUAACAUCAGGUGUGUCCUGCACAUAGAAACAUUUUAAACAAACUGUUAGAGGAUAAUAUAUGAUAUCAUUGUAAAUGCAUUGAAAUGUAAACAUGACUACCUGAGCAUAUCCCUCUCCUAUACUGUCUGGCCAUUGUACUUGGUGCUGGUUUAAAUCUGGUACACGAGUCUCCUCGGGCAUGGGGAUCCCUCGCGUGGAGAGAAACGGCUGAGAUCCCUCACCUUGGGUGUAUGCAUCAUAUCCUGUGUACGCAUAUGGGUUAGGGGAAAGAAACUGCUCGGGCAUCGAAUCCAAGCCCGUGCCAUGGUCCUGAGAUGUUUGCCCCUGACGAAGCUGCAUCGAAGAAGAGCGAUGCAGUGGCAGAGAUGAGUCAUGUCGUGGCAAUGUCGUUCUAGUACUCGGACCCUCCCCCCAUUGCUCAUGGCUCGUACGUGCCUCGCUCGGUCUGGACGACGGUGCCGCACUCGGUCUGGCUGACCUCGCUACCGGCAUGUAUGCUCCAGUGGCAACAUCGUCGCCUCUACCGCAUCUGAACUUCUUUGCCACGAAUUGUUGCAAAAGUUUCUGGAAUGUCUUGCGAUAUGGGCCCUGGGCCGGCAUGCUAUCCGUAGCCAUCUGCCCUACUUCGUUGACAUUUUCAAGCUGAACAAUAUUUGGAUGUUAUUUAGUUCCAAUGAUUAUGAAAUGAUGGACCUAAAAAAGUUGUCUUUGUCCACCUGGUGGCCAUAGUUGCGCUAGCACCCUCGCCAAAGUCAUAUGGGUAUAUGGGUUGUACUAUACGAGGUCGUCCUACAGGGAGGUAUUCCCAGGACCACAACUGUAGAAACUCAUAGGCGACACAAAGUAAUGGAGCUUUUUGUGCGAAAGAGGUUUUUUGCGUGGCAUCGCACAAGCCUCUGUAUGUAUGAGAUAGCAUGGCAGAACCGAAGCUGUAUUUUGGCUGCUCGGGUAAAGGUUCAUCUACCAUAUUCUCUGCAAUGUAGAUGAGACCAGGGACAACAACGUCCCCAUGUGAAUUUGGAAAUAGAUUCCCGAGGAGCCACAACAAAUAUGCAAACAGAUGUCUUUUUCUCGUCUCCUCAUUGGCGAAGAUAGAUAAAUUAAGAAAGUUAUCACGAAGCCAGACGAGUGGGAUGCCCCGAGGGUUACCAGAACGUUGUGAUUCUGGCAUUUCCAUCCCAAGACGGGCUGCUAUAUCUAAUGCCCAAGAUGGAGACACUCGUGGAGAGACUACCGGCUCACCUCUAAUUGGUAGAGCAGUGAUCAUAGAAACAUCUUUCAGUGUAGGUGCAAGCUCCCCAAAACGGAAGUGAAAGGUGUGGGUUUCAGGUCUCCACCGGUCAACGAGGGAUGUCAAAAGGGAUGGGUCCGAACGUACUUGGUCGUCGCAUGAUGUGAGCCUAGCAAAACCUUGUAGUCCAUAAGCGUCAAGGUGAGCAAGGAAAUGAUUGUGUAUUGGCCAUGUUUUCUUUAUGGUUCGAAGUCUGAAAGGCCGAUAAUCAUGCUUAGUAUUUGGUUUCAAAAAUAGGUGGCAACGGUGCCCGACGUCAUGGGGCCCCUGCAAAAGCACUGGCACUUCACCCAUAACCUGCACACAAACAUACAAAUAUAAAUUACGAGGAAGACAGAAAUACAAAUGCAAAUCUAAAUUAACUUAAAAAAUACAAAGAGAUACGAUUUACAUUAAUUAUCUGAAGUUAACAUCAGGAGUACAAUAAUACAAAGAGAAUGAAUUUAAAUUCAAUAUAAGUACACAUAACGAGUACAAAUAUAAAUAGACAUGGCGAGUACAUAUAUAUCAACAUCAUGCGUUGUUGUUGGCUCGAUACGGGCAGUCUUUGCAUGAAUGUCCAGGACACCUGCAAACGCGGCAUCGCCUUGGUUCUCCCAUCUGGCUAUGGUCCAUGUCAUUGCGAUGACGCCUAGACUGACGUCGUCUCUUUGCGGUUCUCAUCAAGUCGGUGUUCGGAACCCAUUUCGGCCCAUCUGGCCACAACAUUUUGUAGUUCAUAUCAAUGCCCCAAGCCCAGAACUCACCGUUCCAAGUGUUGUACAGAUUGUACAUGUUAAAGUACGGCGAUAUGUAUGGCUCGACGCUGAUUUUUUGAACAGCAGUCGCCCGGAGCACAUGACUGCAAGGGUAGCCCUCAAGCUUGGGCUUGUUACAAGUGCACUCACAGGAGGUUGAGCCAAGGGUGACAGCUUGCUUUUUUGAUCCUCUGUGGUGACCCUUAACGUACUUGGCUCGUACAUUGACCUCCCACUUAUUCCUAAGUGCGUCCACUUUCCUGCAGCCAUGACUUUGGGACUUCUUUGCUUUCUCGUCCAGAUGUCUUUGCAUCUUCUCGGACCAUGGCUUGUUCAAUUCAACUUGUGCUUUGGCGACGGUGACCCUGUCUGCAAAGUAUGACAGGGUCCGGUUCCAAGUUUCUUCAAUUAGGGCUGUGAUAGGCAGUGCUCGCACCCCUUUAAGAACACCAUUGUACACCUCUGACAUGUUGCUGGUCAUUAUUCCAUACCGAGCCCCGGUGUCGUGAGCUUGUGCCCACUUCUCCAAAUGAGGGCAAUUCUCGGUGAUCCACUGGCUCAAAUUUAUGGCCGUCCUACGACCCCUCCGGUCUUCUCUCUGCGGCAAGGCCGCGCGGUCGAUCUCACCAUUGAUACCUGCCCAUAUCGCAUUCAUUUUGGCUACAGUUUUUUGCAUGCACAUCCUCUUGAAUAACUUGAACCAAUCCUUGUUUUUGAAUUUGGAGUAAAAGUUUGCUCCCAAAUGCCUCAUGCACCACCUUCCCUCUAGAUCGGGCCAGCCCCACUCUUCUUCCGACGCCUUAAUUAUUUCAAGAGCGCUUAAUAAUCCAGUGUUGCGAUCAGAAAUGAUGCAAACACCUUUACGCUCUUUCACGACACCAAUCUUCACGCAGAUCAGGAACCACAACCAGCUAUCUUUGUUCUCGCUCUCGACCAAUGCAUAUGCAAUAGGAAGAAGCUGAUUAUUUGCAUCCACUGCAAUCGCCACCAAUAGUGUGCCCUUGUACUUUCCAGUGAGAAAGGUACCAUCAACAGAUAAUACCGGGCGACAGUGCCUGAAGGCUUGUAUAGUCUGGGCGAAUGCCCAGAAUAAGCGGUCCAGGAUUAGCUCACCCGGGUUCAUUGGGUUUGGACGUUCUCUCCGCCAAACUUGAGUCCCCCUAUUAGCACUUGCUAUUUGAUGAAGCAUUCUAGGGGCAUAAGAAUAUGCCUCCUCAUAGGUACCAUACAAGUUCUUGAAUAUAUUUUCCUUCGCAUGCCUAGCCUUGCUGUAGCUAACAGGGAAUCCAAUUAGAUCCUCUGCAUCUUUUUGCAGAGCCCUAAAACUAAUGUUGAGACUUCCCUGCACAAUUGUUUCCAUCGUCUGUGCCACAAAUUUUGCUGUCACAUUGCAGUGAUCUGAAAGAGUCCCAGUUUGCUCACAGGUAUGCUCCACUAUUUUUGUGAUAUGCCAUGACUGACAUACCCCAGGCUUCAGUCUAGCGAGAACUCUUCCGCGGCAACCUUUCGCGGUGUGGAUGCAUAUGACCUUCAACUCUUUUUUAUCAGACUGCUUCACUCUAUGCUGGCGUGGAUGCCGAUUGCAUAGCUACCCAUUGCCUGGUAAGCAGACUUCUUAUCUGGGAAAACUUGCCCAACCUCCAGGCUUCCCGCUCCUAGGCCAGAAGCAGAGUGAAAUUCGUUGGUGAUGCUCAUAUCCUGUAAAAACCCAGGUUGCAGUGCCGCCGCGACCGCCCUCUGAGGAGGAACAUCUUCUUCUCCGCUUGACUCCAAAGACGCAGAAGAAUGAUCAUCAUCAUCUAGCGCCUCCGGCAAUCCCUCCACGUGUUCGCUCAUGUCAACGGCCGCCGACCAAUAUCCUGUGUCAUACACAGGCUGGCCGCCCGUCGGUUCCGAUGGGCCGAUGCUAGGGGCUGAUGUGAUGGCCAACUCGACCUCACCACCCCUGCUACUGCAUCCGGCAACAUCAGUGACUGAAAUGAACUCCACAUACACCAUCGGCUGACCAUACAUUGAGUUAUUGGGAUUGCUUGCAAACCUCAUGUACGACCCCCACGAUCGAUCACCUGUGACAGGCCGCAAACCCCAACGGGCAACUGUCCCAUCAUUUCCUCCGUCAACGACGAAGGCCUCCAUUGUCAUUUUUUUUCCUGCAUCACUGGGCCAAACACCGCUCGGAUGCACCUUCUAACAGCUGCGUAACCCACGUUGACCAUGUCUCUCACCACUACUGUAGUCGACUCACAGAAGGACACAUCCACCCCGCAUGGACCGUCGCGUAAGACGUUCCCAUAGUACACUACUAAAUUUUCCAUAGUACCUAACCAACAUACAUGUUUACAUUUCAAAUAAUUAGUAACUGAACAUUUAGUAACGAUGACAACAUUUACAUAUCUUAUGACUAAAAUAAUAACCGUAUUUUCGUUAUAAAUAUUCGGUUUGUUUUUAGAAUCAUUUGCUUAGACUUUAAGGGGUUGUUUGGUUAACGGGUAUUUAAAGAUCUAUUUUUCUCAAAUUUGUCUAUGAGCGUAACAAACUAAAACUCUGUUUGCUUUUCUCUAACUACCCCAAAAAUAUCCUAAAAUAGUUCUCGUAACAUGCAAAAACUUAGCUUCUGGAAAAACGACUUUUCGUAAAAUAUGGUUUUCUACAUAAUUUCCUUACAACAGGUUAUGACAAAACUGAGGGUAAGUACUCGCUAUCCAAACAACCACUAAACAUAAUAUUACGAUAAUAACAUUCAAAUAUCAUAUGAGUAAAAUAUCUAAUUUCUUCCGGCAUGAUAUAAUGUUUUUCAUAUCAUGCGAUAAAUUUCAUUUAUUUACAAAUAAUAAUAUUUGCAGCGGCAUGACAGUACAUCAAUAUAAAAAAUAUUAACAAAAUUACGGCGUCAUUUUAUACCUUAGGUCCAAUAUGGAUGUGCUUGCAAAUGCAAUUAAGCGUCCAAAUAGUUCGAAUAAAUAUCCGUCACCAGUAAAAUAUGAACAGAGUCAACCUAUUAUCACAUGAACAUCAAUAUUACACACGGAUUUUUCUUUCUGCUAUCAAAAGUAUGAAAAUAACACUUGCAUGUAUGUGGUCAUCAUCUCAAAAGGGAUAGCGAAGAUGGUAACACAAUUUCUUCAAUCACGUCAUCUCCUCCUUGUUUGCUACUAAGAUGAAUUAUUUUACCUAAUUACAUUUAUCAUUAAGUACAUUACCACCUAAUCUUAACAUAUAAAAUUUAGAUUAUUGUGACAUAACAAAGUAGACCUACGAUUUCCUAACCAUAGACUUAUUAAUAAACAUACCACAUGAAAUAUCAUACCACAUGCAAUGAACAAUUACAGUGUAAUUUUUUCUUAAUUAUCGUAUUAAGAGCUUCUCGCAUGUCAAUACAAAUGUAUGCAACUAACAUUGAUACAACAUCUUCAACCUACUCUUAUCAAAAAAAUAGUUUAAAUGUUGUAUCCGUCGUUUGAAUUUUUUCCGAACCUCUAAGCACUAACAUCACAUAGCUAAUGACGAGCUAAAUGACUAACUAAUUACCACCGUGCAUCACAAAAAAAUCCAUGUAUUGCAAAGCUCAUACCUUGAUCUCCCCCUUCGUACUUCACUUAGCACGGCAAAUCCUACUCCAGAAACUCCAAAUGACUCCUCCAAGUGCUGAAAUAAUGCCUAAAACAACAUAGAGUACACACUUAGGAACUAAUCAAACAGAACUAAAACAUCAUGCAUGCAAACAAAACCAACAAAAAUGGAUAGAUCUUACCUUAAUCUAUCUUUUCUUCAACUUCACCAUCUUCGAAAACCAACUCUAAAUCGGCCAAAAUCAUGAGUGAAAGUAGCUACCAAGUAUUUCCUUCUGUCUAUUCUUCUAGACUUAGACAGAGUAGAGAGGCAGUGAAGGCAAGGAGAGAUAUUCGAGAGAGUGUAUGCGCAGCCGCGGUUGUGCGUAUAUAAAGAGGAGGAGCAUUGUAUUGUCGGCAGAACGAGAUACACUCAGCUACCGCAGCCUCGGAUUCCAGCAUUGCGUUGUCUCAUCACAAUGUGUGUGUGUGUAUAUCGUCCAGAAAUUAUGUGUGUGUGUGUGUGUAGCAGUGUGUGUGUGUGUGUGUGUGUGUGUGUGUGUGUGUGUAGCAGCGUUCCCUUGUGAAUUGGUGCGAACCUGCAAUGUGUUAUGUUUGUAACAGGGUUGUGGCACAGCUUGCAUACUAAUUGAGGCUUGGGUUGCAAAUUUGUGAUAUAACAGAGGAGAAAUGGUGAGGGAGUAAGCGAUAAUUACUACGGUCAAGAAGACCAAUUGAGUAUCAACUAAACAAGCAUAAAUUUCUGUUUACACUCAUGCUCUUAACUCAUGGUUUUGUUAAUUUUAUGAAUGGCAGCUUCAAGCCUUGGGGUUAAAGCUUCGAUACCUGUGGAAGUUCCACAAUACUGCUCCAGAAAAUAUCUUGGAGUUUGCCGAAACUUUUGCUUGCAUAGAUGCUGAAUCCGCAAAUGAAUUGACCAAGGAGAAGUCACUUUCCAUGGAACUUAUCAGUAAAGUAAGAUCUUGGUAGCUUUUUUAUGUUUAUUCAUGCCCAGUUUUAUUUUUGGUCAUAUAAACUUGCUUCUACACCUUGUUCUAAGCUGUUUGAAUGUGUUUCAUAGGCGCUGUGCCUAGUUUUAUUUUUGGUCAUAUAAACCUGCAUUGUACACCUUCUUCUAAGGUGUAUGAAUGUGUUUCAUAGGUGCUGUGCCCAGUAAUAUUUUUUGUCAUAUAAACCUGCAUUGUACACCUUCUUCUAAGGUGUAUGAAUGUGUUCCAUAGGCGCUGUGGCCAGUUUUAUUUUUUGUCGUAUAAACUUGCAUUGUAGACCUUCUUCUAAGGUGUAUAAAUGUGUUUCAUAGGCGCUAUGCUGUUGCAAGGCCUGAUCUGUAGCAAACACUGUUUAUUUCUUGAUUUGUUAUUUUUCUGCGAUAACUGAAUCUUGUGGACCCAUGGUUUCAUUUAUAUGGGUCCAGCUGAUGAUCUGAAAAAAACUUGCGUUGUAUACAGGCAACUGAAGAGAUUAACACCUUGGAGGCUUCUAUGGUUGCCAAACAGAAGAAGAUGUACUUGGGUAAAAAACAGAAAUUGCUGAAAUUGCUUGAAGAAACGCACAUGGUACCUGCUGACAUUAAAUUUGAUCCCAAGAAAAAAGGUACUUGAACAUGUUGAUGCAAUUACUUCUAUGGCAUAUAGAUUAUGCCCAUCACUAAUGCAUGUUUCGCAAUCUCGGUUCUCUUUUUCGCUAAAACAAACCAUGAUCAGCAAAUCUGUUUGGUGCUCCCACUCUGGUUUCCCUAUUUGUUUGGUGCUCCCUGCUUCUCUUUUACCUCCCUAUAGAUUAUGCCCAUCAUUAAUGCAUGUUUCCCUGCUUCUCUUUUACCUCCCUGCGACUAGUGGGGAAAGGAUGGGAGAAUUAGGGAGGUAAAAGAGAAGCAGGGGUAGGGAAUACGGUAUUUCAUUACUUGCCCUCCUUACGAGGAUACAUCCUUAUAUAGACCCUUUAGGUCAGUUACUGUUCACUGAAAAGUAAUUCCACACACCCUGGAUACUUCUGGACUAAGAUGGGUCCAUGUAAGAGACAACUGGACUCUUAAGAUGACACAACAUUACUCCCCUUCUCAGAGAAGCAGCUUGUCCUCAAGCUUCAUAUUUGCUAGAGCUGACUAUUCCUACAUGUCAGCUGGUCCGCUGUUCUUUCUUGUAUAAGCCGGACUAGAUGGUAACUGGAACGAAGGUCUAGCUUGGUGUAUUUUCUUCUUCAUUUGUUUAUAGGGUAGUUUCUUCAUCUGUUCAUAGAUAUUUUGUGCCUGAUCCACUCUGUUUUUAUUUUCAGUAGAAUCUGAUUUCCCCAAAGCAAUAACAGAUUUGAAGAUUUUGAUUAAACAAGUUAAAGUACAAAUUCCUCAAAGAAAAGAUAUUGUCAUGCGAAUUGAACUACUCCAGCAUGCAGUGAAUAAUUCACUCUCUGUGAAAACAUCUGAAAGUAAGAAAUAUGUUCUAGUUUAUUCAAAUUGAAAAUAAACCAACCAAUCAUAUGUAAUUUUUCUCAUAUUUUAUUUGCUAAACAGGGCUACUUCGCUCUUUGAAGAAUUUGGUCCUCCUCGAAGACACAUUUCUAUUUGAUGGCAAGGAUGUGAAGGUUGUUAUAAAUGCAAUCGAAGAUGAAAUGAAACCAGCUUCAACAAAGCCUGCGCUUCCAGUAAAGAAGAGGAUGAGUGCUCGGCUGACUGAGUUGAGGGACAAGGAGCAGUCCAGUCCUGACCUGCCUCCCCCUCCCUAUCCUUCACGAGUUCGCGAUGGGAAUAGGGAACGCAGGAAGGGGGUAUGGGGCAAGGAAUCCAAGAGGUGAGCAUUUGAAAUAUAGAUUGUCUUUUCAGCAUAGCACCCUCUGAAAAAGAAACUUGGCAUGCUCAUAUUUCUUGAGUAAAAUAUUCCUCUUGUUCCUUUUUGUGGCUGAUGCAUCUUGCAUGAAUGAAUUUAUGGCCAUCCAAAACUAGUAUGUGUUUCCAACAGCCUAAAGAGAGUCCAUCCAAGACUAAAAUGAAAAACGUCACAUACCGAUGUAUAAUUUCUAGCUCUUCUCCUACAGUCAGAUCUGGAACAUUUAGAUGAAGAUGCUUAGGUACAAAGGGCUGCAUGGGUAACUUGAUCAGAAUGAUGAAAAACAAUAGGUAUCUCAACACUGGAACUAGGAUAGUUUCAUCAUGUCUAAUUUUCCAUGGGCAUUCAGUAUGCCCUGAUGGGAUUGUUGAGUAGUUCUGCCUACAUGGCCACAUGGGCAGAAAUACAGAGGAAAGCCUGGAAACUGUUGAGGUAGAUGCAAUGAAGACAUGCUAAGUUAUUCGAAGUGCGGGGAUGGGGGUUUCUUAUGCUGUCAGUUUUGAGGUGUUGAAACUAAGCCUAGUGGUUGAUGCUAUUUUUCCUAAGUGAAGUUGUCAUUCACAUUUGAUGGGCCUCUCUCUCAAAGCAGGGCAAUCCUUGUCUGAGCUGUAUGAUUGAGGUUUCUAUACACGUGGUGCUGCACUCCCACUCCACAUCACUGCGUGCUUGCAGUUGGCCUCCCGAUAAGCAUCUGACCUUUUAAGUUGCAUAUGUUGUCAGGUGAAAAGGCUUCAUGGACGCCCCGCGCAAGGCCCUUGUCAACAAGUCAAGUUACUCGAGUACCGUCCCGACUCCUCCCUCCCAGGAUCACUCGUCUGUCCACGAAGAUUGAGCACUUGUAAAGUUGUGUGCUUCAACACGAACUGUCUUCUCAUUUGAAGGCAAGACGCCCGUGACCGACAGCAAAAUGAUAAUGUGGCGAAUAGUUUUUGUUGUGCGGACGUACUUUGGUUUGUUGCUUCUGAGGAUAGAUAGAUGCAUAGAUCUCAGCAGACCAUUCCAUGCGUACUGUCGCUUUACCUGGGAAAACAGUGGCCUCUACAGGAACCUUGUAGCCAUGUAAUCGUGUCAGGUUCCCGACUGUUGGCUGUUACAAAUGUAGAUGGAUCUAGGAUGCCUGUGUUUUGCUGAUAGUCCUCGCUGAUGAGUUGUUGGAACGUGCAUAUUAGAACUGUGUUGCGAGUAUCCGUCGCCAGAUGAUUUGUUUGUCGUGGGAGUAGAGUGUCGCCCGGUCACCAUGUUCAAAGAAUGCGCAUGCAUGCUCUCUCACCCAAGGACGUCACGCAUUGUUCACUCCAGAUCUACAACCUCCAAUCUGUACUGUACCCAUUGUUCACUCUUGCAUAAUAGGUUUUUUUUCCCCAGUGAUCUGACGCUGUCGUGUCGAGCAGGAAGGACGAACGGGGCCCAAUAUCACCAUUAUUUACUCCAACUCUCAAUAUCUCCCAAAUAUCCCUAAAUAUACUCACUUCCGCCGUGGCCAAUUAAACUAGUGCCUCUCCUUCUCCCACCCUUGCGCCGCCCUGUCUCCCGUCGCUGUAGCCGCCACACGCCCACCGAUGACCGUCCGUCCUGAUGGAAUGGAUACCCUGAACCCUUCCCUCACCCUGCCGGCCACCGCCGCUGAAAAUCUUGCUAGAUCUACCUUUGCUAAAUGCCGGAUGGCCGGCCGGCUGGGUUGUAGGGCGUCGUGCGAUGGUGCGUAGGCGGGGGUCGAGGGCGUUGCCUACUCUGCCAAGAUACAUACGGAAAAGUAAUAUAGAUAUGAAAAGAUGGACCAAUGGGCUUCUUUUAUUAGUUUCUACACCGGUUCAUCAAUUGUGGAAGACGUAACAUGCCCGCUUCAAUUAAUUACCGGAGUUUAAUCACAUGAUUCGUGGAAAAAAUGCUGAGGUGGCAUGCGAUUGAUAUAGUGAGGCUGCAAACUAAAUGAUGAGAUGGUAUGAUGACGAUGAUAUGGACAGUGCACAUGUUGAGAGAAUUGAUAGUAGUGAUGAUCGAUUUAUUAAGAAUGUAAGAUUUAUUAGCUAGCGGGUUACGGCCUAAUGUCCAAGCGGGAAUUCUCACUUAUUUUGCGGCACCGAACAUAUCCAUACAAGAUUUAAGGCUUGAGCGAGAGCCGUCCCGCCCAGUGCUUGUAGCUCCCACAUCCACAAUACACAUCUGUUCUACCAGAGCCGAACAUUAUGCGCUUCUCAUUGAGAAACUUUUGCGAUUAAUUAGGUGCCAUGUAGCAAAAUCCACCCCUAUCCGGCCUGGGAGCUUGAUUACGUCAAUAGAAAGAAAAUGCUUUCAAAAAUACCACAAAGAAACUUUAUAGGCAAGACUAAACAUAUUAUAUGUCAAAAGUAAAAGAGGGCCUGUUAAAGUUGGAAAAUAUUAUAUAUCAAGAGUCCGAAAAAUCAUGUACGAGUAAAAAAAAAAUCAAGCAAAGUUUAAAAUGAAAAAAAGCCUCCCCGGGUACUGCUUUUCUUGGGCUCUGGCCUCUAUAUCCUUUGUGGGCUAUGGCCGCUUUUUUGUGUGGCCCUUGGCCUCUUUUUUUCCUCACUUUUACCUCUCUCUUUUUUCCUCUCAUUGCCGGCCGGCUGUGUCCACUCCCCCCGUGGAGGCAACGCCAUGUAGGCAGGCCAGUAGAUAAAGCAGGGUGCACCGUGCCACAGCGGGCGAUGUGGGACAAUUUACGAAACUACCAGGAGCGGCGCUCUCGCCCGCCCGCCCGCAUGGGCCGGCUCGGAACAGUAACGCGAAACAUAACCGGCCCAUCAGUGGUUUCAGCGAAAUAAAAAAGUUUAUUUACGCGAUAGGUUUGCUAGCUAAAGUAGCCGGUCGAGAGAUCGAACGCCCAACCUCGCAUUAUCCUUUCUUUUUUUAAAAAAAAAAUCUCUCAUUUAUCCAUCGUUGUAUGAGAGAGCUACUUAUCACUACUCGUUGUUACUGUGAGAAGCAUCAUGUUUACAUCGUAAACCAUUAGCAUACGGUGAGAAGCAUCCUCUGCUCAUUCUUGGACCAAUGCAUUACUGUCCAAGGCACUUCUUGGACGACAGGCUAGAGAGCUGGAGACUGUGGGUAACAGAAUAAUUAAUAAAUAGGACAAUGCAAACAAAUAUUUAGAUCAUGUAUGUAGAUGAUGAAAAUAAGACCUUCAGUAUCUCGGUGAGCUUCGUCUUCGCCUUGUUCCGGAUUUGGCUACCAUCCAAAAGCAUGUGUUGUAUUGGUUUGGUUCCUGUUGUCACCUGCAAAUUAGUGUGUGCAACGACUCAGCUCAUUUUUCCUGUUAACUGUUAUGGUGUGCAGUGUUCAAACUACUAGAACAGUCAAGCCCUUGCAACAGGGCACCAUUACAAAAGAGAAGUGUGGUGGCCACAGCAAUUCUUCAUUUGGGAAAUAUUCUUGCUACUUCAACAUGUACAAAGAAGUGAAACAUGAUCAACAUGGAGAAACGAUUAAUCUGAAAAAUUAGUUGCAUAUCUUAUCAAAGGUUUGAGUUUUGACCAGUUGAACAGAAGUACUGUAUAAAUUCAUAAAACUACACAGGUACCUCUUUUCUCUCUGAUAUAAUUUAGCGUUCUCCUGGAACACAAAGCUUCAACAAUAACAAAAGAACAAUCAUUUGCAAAAAUUUGUCCAGUCUUGCUAUCCAACAAACAAGAAGACAUUUUCAUUGAGAACGAGCAGGCUCAUUAAUAAUGAUUUCCUUUUGUAUCUACAAUCAAACAGAUUUUCCAUCUUUGAUAUUUUCAAAUACAUGUCAUAUGGCAUGGCCCCGCCCAUAACAAGAUGAAACUCAUCCCAGGACCAGAGAUAGCUCCAACAGUAGGAUGACAGCACAACAGGUGAAAUGAAACACCUUGCAACACUGAACAACCUAAAAUAGAUUCAUAGAAGUAGAGAAACAUCAGUCACUACUCUUGCCACCAUAUUGACAUAUUAGAAAUCAGACUUCCAGGGCAACAUUGGGAUGUGAGGCAUGAAAACCAUUGCUCCAAAUUUAUGACUGGAUAAAACUGGGUGUAUCUAAACCAUAGAACCUGAAGCUACACAAAUGUUCUUCACGUGCAUACAGCACAAGACGCUACAUUAUUCAAGGUACACAAUUCAGAUCUCGUAUUGCAAAAACAGCAAUAGAUAAAUUAAAGACAACCACGAAGAGACAUCACCCCAGAGUCACCGAGACCACAUAUGGUACCACCAAAUUCCUCAGGUGGCGGCAAAGUCAUUCAC